rnacentral:rRNA from 1 species
GAUGAACGCUGGCGGCGUGCCUAAUACAUGCAAGUCGAGCGAACGGACGAGGAGCUUGCUUCUCUGAUGUUAGCGGCGGACGGGUGAGUAACACGUGGAUAACCUACCUAUAAGACUGGGAUAACUUCGGGAAACCGGAGCUAAUACCGGAUAAUAUUUUGAACCGCAUGGUUCAAAAGUGAAAGACGGUUUUGCUGUCACUUAUAGAUGGAUCCGCGCUGCAUUAGCUAGUUGGUAAGGUAACGGCUUACCAAGGCAACGAUGCGUAGCCGACCUGAGAGGGUGAUCGGCCACACUGGAACUGAGACACGGUCCAGACUCCUACGGGAGGCAGCAGUAGGGAAUCUUCCGCAAUGGGCGAAAGCCUGACGGAGCAACGCCGCGUGAGUGAUGAAGGUCUUCGGAUCGUAAAACUCUGUUAUUAGGGAAGAACAAAUGUGUAAGUAACUGUGCACGUCUUGACGGUACCUAAUCAGAAAGCCACGGCUAACUACGUG